CUGCUCGAGGCUUGACGGGUACGGGGAUUAGGGUUCGAUUCCGGAGAGGGAGCCUGAGAAACGGCUACCACAUCUAAGGAAGGCAGCAGGCGCGCAAAUUACCCAAUCCUAAUACAGGGAGGUAGUGACAAGAAAUAACAAUACAGAACCUUACGGUUUUGUAAUUGGAAUGAGUUAAGUAUAAACCCCUUAACAAGUAUCAAUUGGAGGGCAAGUCUGGUGCCAGCAGCCGCGGUAAUUCCAGCUCCAAUAGCGUAUAUUAAAGUUGUUGCAGUUAAAAAGCUCGUAGUUAAUCUUCUGUUAAUUUUUAUAUAUAAUAUCACGAUAUUUAUAUAAUAUUAACAUAAUUCAUAUUACUUUUUAGUAUAUGAAACUUUACUUUGAGAAAAUUAGAGUGCUUAAAGCAGGCUAUUGCCUUGAAUACUCCAGCAUGGAAUAAUAUUAAGGAUUUUUAUUCUUCUUAUUGGUUCUAGAAUAAAAAUGAUGAUUAAUAGGGACAGUUGGGGGCAUUUGUAUUUAACAGUCAGAGGAAA
rnacentral:rRNA from 1 species